rnacentral:rRNA from 1 species
GACGAACCGUGCGAACGUUGUUCGGAAUCACUGGGCUUAAAGGGCGCGUAGGCGGUCUGCCAAGUCUGGGGUGAAAUCCUCCGGCUCAACCGGAGAACGGCCUCGGAUACUGGCGGUCUCGAGGGAGGUAGGGGCGUGCGGAACUAAGGGUGGAGCGGUGAAAUGCGUUGAUAUCCUUAGGAACUCCGGUGGCAAAGGCGGCACGCUGGACCUCUUCUGACGCUGAGGCGCGAAAGCCAGGGGAGCAACGGG